GUUAAAAUUAAGUUGGUGAGGAGGUCUAUCGCUGGCCCUGCGAAGUUUUCUUACCUCAGGCAAGGUCUUCCCCAGCCCAGCUACAAACAGACCCACCCUUCAGACCCUUCUAUUACAUCUCAACCUGCUGAACCUGAUGAUGCGACACAAGCUGUUCUGAGAGUGCAUACAGUAAGGCAAAGAAGAGAGAGCUUCAUGCCUGGGAUGCAGUCUAGGAUGAGAUGCUUAAGGUGUCGUUUGAAUGUUCAGCACAGAUCACUACCCAGUGUGCUGUCUGCCGAGAACAUGCUGAUUAUAGGUGCAUUGAGUGCAGCUCCACUGCAGUGUUCUGUGAGGUUUGCCUGAAGAGGAUUCACAGAAAUUUACUGCAUCUUCCUGAAAAGUGGAAUAGUGUUUACUAUGAGCCAUCCUCCCUGGGGUUAUUCCUAUAUUUACCUGAAGCCCAUGGCACCCAUGCUGUGUACACAAAGGACAUGAAGAUCAUUGUCAGCACAGGACGGCUCUGCACCGUUACAGUCAACAUGUGUGCGUGUGAACCAGAAACCUGUACUCUGCUAAGAUAUGGGCUCUGACCAGACAGCCUUCUCCAUCCCUCUGCUAGAGCUUUCUGUUUCUCUGUCACUGGAGUGUCAGGUUUCUAUUGAGGGUUUUUGCAACACCCCAUAUCCCAUUUUAGGCAUCACCACUUCCGACAAAGAAGUUUGGUUGAUAUUUGCCCACAAUUAAAUGAUGGAACAAUAUGCCCAGCAUGUCCAAAGGUUGGUUAUAAUUCCAGCGUGGUUCUUGUUUGAUUAAAUUAAUGGCAUAGAAAUAAAAUCUGAAUUAAUAUCAAACUUAAAAGUUAAUUUGUGUAUGUAGUAUUGUAAUAGAAUAGUAAUAGUAUAAAUGUAUAAACCUGGUGCGGGUACAAAACCAGUGUUACUGUAAGUGUUUGUUUUCCAGGCGGAUGGAGAUAUGAUUGUCACAUUGGAUGCCAACUUUGGCCUUGUGAGGAAUCAAAGCUCUGGGACAAGUGCGGUUGAUCCAUUACAUGGAACCCGCAUGCUUAGAGGAAUACCUGCUAUCACAUCUUGACAGCUCAAAGCCUCGAGGUGAAAACUUGUGAAAAAAGAUAACUAUUCCUCUCAUAAAUCUAUGUUUUCCUUAAAUAUUUAGGACUGCAGUAAGCUGCUCUCAUUCAAGGUAUUAUAAUAUAAUAUAAUAUAAUUACUUUACUGCGUUACUUGUGCAGACAUGUUGUUUUACUAGGUCUGAUCUAUUUUAAAGCUUAGGCACUGUAUUUAAGCAUACAUAUACACCACUAGUCUGUCUGUAUGAGUACAAAAUUAAAAAAUAAACUGUCUAUAAUUGUUACUGUACAAGCACAGUAAAAUAUUUAUAUAAAAAAUAUUGCACUACUGUUAUUUUGCAUAGAAUACAUUGUUCAACAAUAUUUUUGCACACUCAUCCAACUGCAUUUAUUACCACUGUUCUCACGUUCCUGCUGUUCAUAACAUAUAUAUAAUCCUUCAUUGCUCUGUUCAUAAUGUACAUACAAUCCCUACAUUGCAUUCAUAUUUAUAUUCUGUAUAUACUCUGAUCAAUAUUGUAUAUAGCAACUCCACUGUACAUUCUGUAUAUCAUAGCUUUACUUACUCUGCACUUUUAUGUAUAUAAAACACUAUAUUCUUGCUUUUCCGGUUAGAUGCUAACUGCAUUUCAUUAGCUCUGUACUUGUACUCUGCAUAAUGACAAUAAAGUUGAAUCUAAUCUAAUCUAAAAAAAAAAAAAAAAAUGUGUUUACCAUAAUGUAAUAUGUUAUUUACUGUAAUGUACAAAUGUGUGGGAGGUGUUUUGUUUUUUGUGAGCUCACCAUCAAAAUCCCCUUCGACUGAGUUGAAAUGAAAAUAAAUUAUUGGAUCUUGAAUCCUCUGAAGCAA